rnacentral:rRNA from 1 species
UACGGAGGGUGCGAGCGUUGUCCGGAAUCAUUGGGCGUAAAGGGCGCGUAGGUGGCGGGACAAGCGUGCGGUGAAAGCCUGGGGCUCAACCCCGGGUCGGCCGUGCGAACUGUUUUGCUUGAGCACUGUAGAGGCAGGCGGAAUUCCGGGUGUAGCGGUGGAAUGCGUAGAUAUCCGGAGGAACACCGAUGGCGAAGGCAGCUUCCUGGCCCGUAUCUGACGCUGAGGUGCGAAAGCGUGGGGAGCGAACGGG